rnacentral:rRNA from 1 species
GGAGGGUGCGGGCGUUAAUCGGAAUGACUGGGCGUAAAGGGCAUGUAGGCGGAUGAUUAAGUUAGGUGUGAAAGCCUCGGGCUCAACCUGAGAAUAGCAUUUAAAACUGGUGAUCUGGAGUACUGUAGAGGGAGGUAGAAUUCCACGUGUAGCGGUGAAAUGCGUAGAGAUGUGGAGGAAUACCGGUGGCGAAGGCGACCUUCUGGACAGAUACUGACGCUGAGAUGCGAAAGCGUGGGGAGCAAACAGGAUUAGAUACCCUGGUAGUCCACGCUGUAAACGAUGUCGAUUUGGAGUUUGUUGCCUAGAGUGAUGGGCUCCGAAGCUAACGCGAUAAAUCGACCGCCUGGGGAGUACGGCCGCAAGGUUA